GUGUCAGCAGCCGCGGUAAUACGGAGGGUGCAAGCGUUAUCCGGAUUCACUGGGUUUAAAGGGUGCGUAGGUGGCUUUGUAAGUCAGUGGUGAAAGCCCGGAGCUUAACUCCGGAACUGCCAUUGAUACUGCUUAGCUUGAAUCGAGUAGAGGUGGAUGGAAUAUCACAUGUAGCGGUGAAAUGCUUAGAUAUGUGAUAGAACACCGAUUGCGAAGGCAGUUCACUAUGCUCGUAUUGACACUGAGGCACGAAAGCGUGGGGAUCAAACAGGAUUAGAUACCCUGGUAGUCCACGCCCUAAACGAUGUAAACUCGACAUUAGCGAUAUACAGUUAGUGUCCAAGCGAAAGCGUUAAGUUUACCACCUGGGAAGUACGUUCGCAAGAAUGAAACUCAAAUGAAUUGGCGG
rnacentral:rRNA from 1 species